AGAGUUUGAUCAUGGCUCAGAAUCAACGCUGGCGGCGCGCUUAACACAUGCAAGUCGAACGAGAAAGUGGAGCAAUCCAUGAGUAAAGUGGCGUACUGGUGAGUAACACGUGGGUAAUCUACCUCUGGGUGGGGAAUAACUCUGGGAAACCGGAGCUAAUACCGCAUAAGCCUGUAAAGGGAAAGGCGAAAGUCGCCGAGAGAGGAGCCCGCGGCUGAUUAGCUAGUUGGUGGGGUAAAAGCUCACCAAGGCGAAGAUCGGUAGCCGGCCUGAGAGGGCACACGGCCACACUGGCACUGAAACACGGGCCAGACUCCUACGGGAGGCAGCAGUGGGGAAUCUUGCACAAUGGGGGCAACCCUGAUGCAGCGACGCCGCGUGAGCGAUGAAGCCCUUCGGGGUGUAAAGCUCUUUCGGCAGGAACGAUAAUGACGGUACCUGAAGAAGAAGCUGCGGCUAACUACGUGCCAGCAGCCGCGGUAAUACGUAGGCAGCGAGCGUUGUUCGGAGUUACUGGGCGUAAAGCGUGCGUAGGCGGUCUUGUAAGUCUGGUGUGAAAUCUCCCGGCUCAACUGGGAGGGUGCGCCGGAAACUGCAAGGCUGGAGUAUGGGAGAGGUAGGCGGAAUUCCUGGUGUAGCGGUGAAAUGCGUAGAUAUCAGGAGGAACACCUGUGGUGUAGACGGCUUACUGGACCAUGACUGACGCUGAGGCACGAAAGCGUGGGGAGCAAACAGGAUUAGAUACCCCGGUAGUCC
rnacentral:rRNA from 1 species